AUGCCUCUUCUGCCAUUUCCGUCCUACACUGUGCUCGGCCGGGGUUGUGGAGACGGAGAAUACCGGAGUGCAGUAACGGAGCCGGAGCUGUGUACCGACCAGGGUUACCUCACCUGAGAGCCCGUUCCUGCUUCAAGUUUGUAUUGUCGGUCGUAGUUUUGGGCUAAUAGGGUAUGCUGCCAUCUAGUGACUGUUUAGAUAUACAUCAGCCAUGACAUUACCACUGACCGGUAAGUGGUCAUGUAUUUAUCAAAUGCAGUAUUUAUGAAGAAAAAAUUAGCAUCUCCAUUUAAAAGUCACAUGUAUUCCAGGUCCAACCUGGCUUACAGAAAGUGCAUACGUCUACAGAAAAGGAAAUUAACACCCACUUUAACAACUGUUCUCGUUCUGCAUCAUGAAACAAAGCUGCUACAUUAAUGUUAAUAUUAAUUAUAGAAAAAAUGUAUUAUAUAACAAAAAACACGUAGAUGCUGGUGUACCCACUACAUUUUAAAAAAUUAUGUUGUAUUAAAAUAGAA